UACGUAGGGGGCGAGCGUUGUCCGGAUUUACUGGGCGUAAAACGCUUGUAGGUGGCCACGCCAAGUCGGAUGUGAAAUCUCCUGGCUUAACUGGGAGGGGUCAUUCGAUACUGGCGGGCUCGAGGCAGGUAGGGGGAAGCGGAAUUCCCGGUGUAGUGGUGGAAUGCGUAGAUAUCGGGAGGAACACCAGUGGCGAAGGCGGCUUCCUGGACCUGUUCUGACACUGAGGAGCGAAAGCGUGGGGAGCGAUCCGG
rnacentral:rRNA from 1 species